CUUACAUUUGUGCCAAACCAUAAGUAAUUUCUGUUCUAAGUGUGCUGUACCGACAAGUAGCUACGUGAAAACUGCAUACUUGAGAUAAAAUGUGUGUUUACACCUAAGUAUACAAAUAAGCUAGCCUUUUACUUGUCAUCUUGCCGUGACUCCAAGUGUGUGUAGAGUGGAAGUCUUUUCUGGACCACAUCAUGGAUGAGUGCUGAAAUGAACAAGGUCAUGGAAAAAGCCGUGGGUCCUCAGAGACUUCAAGACGGUGGGUACAAGGUCAGCCAGAUAGUGAUGGGUGUAGGCCCGUGCCGCAAUCUUCUCCACUGUCUCUUGGUCCCUCUUCAGCGCCUCCUCCUGCUGGGAAAUUCUGCGCUCCUGGAGACAGAAUGCUAUUAAGUACCUCUGUUAACUUUGCAAUAUGCGCUGCAAAAAAAUUAUACCAAAAAAUAAUGCUUAAUCAUCACAUAGUGUAAAUGAAGUAUAACUUCCAUUGCAUUACCUUUUCCUCCCGCCGCCGCCUCUCCUGCUCCUGGAGUCGCUGCACCUCGGCCAGCUCGGCAUUCCGGAUCUCCUCAAAGGCCCUCUGUUGGGCCCUCAGACAGGCCAGCUCCUCCUCCUCCAUCACCUCCAAGAGAGAUUGCUCAAUGGUCUUCCCCACUAGGACCUCCAGCAAUGGCUGCACCUCUCUAUCGAAGUCAAACAACUAUGCAAAAAUAAGACAUAUGUCUUUAAUAGGCCUCCCCCCCAUCAAGUAUACAGUGCACUGUUAAGUGGCUUGCACACCUCUCCGUCCUCUAUUUGCGUUGCAACAUCUUGGCCAGAUUUGGCAGGUAUAAAGAGCGGAGAUGCUGGUCUGUCCAGGAAAGCAUCAGUCUGGGAUUCAGUAUGUGAAACCUCUAUGACGUAGCUUAACUCUUCCAGGUAAAGCUCUAAAAAGAAACCACAACUUUGCAGACUCUCACAACAGACUACAUUAUGGAAUACAAACAGAGGUUAAUGAGGAUACACUUAACCUGUUUGCACUACAUUGUGUUUUCUGCCCUGCACGGCAUCUGGAGUUGCAGAUCUUUGGGGCUCCCCGGUCCUCUUUUUCCGAGCCAUGGCCCUCCGCCUGAUCUCUUGCUGUCUUUGGAUUUCAGCCAGAUCAUCCUGCACCAUCUGCCACAGAGUGAACAUAAUGCAAUGUUUAAAAUGCAAACAUUUAAUCAUAUAUUAUUGUAAUACACCUACAGCUGACAUGAAGCGUUGAGCAUAAGUGUUUCCCCUGAUGACACGUCGAUCAUACAUGAUGUUUCCAUAAUUACUGCCCUGUGCCCUGCAGACAAAACAGCUCAUUAGUUCAGCAUGAAAAUUAAAAAGCCUCAAAAGGCUCGUGGAUGAUGUUUAUUUAAAAAUAUAUACUGAAUUACAACUAUGGCCUAAAUCUACUGACAAGGGUAACUGUUCCUGAAUGGUUAGCAGAUACACUACUAUUGCCAAAACACAGCAUAGUCUCUAGGUGGCGGAAUAACAUUGCUUAAUAUGACACUGCUUAAGAAAUGUAGAAAUAACGCUUCUAUUAAUCACCUGCCCGUUUUGUUACACCAAAACGUCACUAAAAAGUUCAAUUCAUAAGAUUGAGACUUCCGGUUUAGCAUUAGCAUUAGCAGUGACGGAACAAACCUACUUUUCUGUCGGUAGUUCUCUGUAUUUGGAGCGGUUCUCAACAGGUCUAGGCCGACUGGAGAAGGUGUAAGUUUCGUUCGUGCCUUUCUGGCUGUGUGAAACAAAAGACAUGUUUUUUACGUGUUUUUAAAAAGUGUUAAUCCUUGUAUUAGCUUGCUCGUGCCGGGUCGCGAGGACACUUAACUAGCUACCUUAACAACGGUAACCAAGAAGUGAAACAAGGUGUAAUGGCAUCUUCUGGCCAGAGGAGUCGCUUUACCUCCAUGAAAUAAACAUGAAGACUACUGCUAAAUAUCCACUUCUAGUAACAGAAUAAUGAAAUCUGAUCAAGGCAUGUCUUAUUAAAAAGUUUACCUCCAUGAAAUAAACAUGAAGACUACUGCUAAAUAUCCACUUCUAGUAACAGAAUAAUGAAAUCUGAUCAAGGCAUGUCUUAUUAAAAAGUUUAAAAAGUGUAAUGAAAUCUGAUCAAGGCAUGUCUUAUUAAAAAGUUUAAAAAGUGUUAAUGCUUGUAUUAGCUUGCUCGUGCUGGGUCACGAGGACAAGCUACCUUAGCAACGGUAACCAAGAAAUGAAACAAGCUGUAAUGGCAUCUUCUGGCCAGAGGAGUCGCUUUAGCCUCCAUAAAAUAAACAAUCAAAAAAUCAUUAUUCCACUCUUACAUAACAGCCAAUGACCAAGAGUCAUGUCAUUUUUCCACACAAAAUUAAGCAAACCCAGCUACAGCGGGUGACGACCUUGUCCAACAUAUGUCUGUCACAUGUUUUGAUGGCCUUUACACAAAAUAUGCGCUCAUUCACCGCUGCCAUAUUGUUAUGCUUGAGCGCUGACUUAUUGUUGUGGCCCAUCCAAAGGCUUAAAUGGUAGCUUCCUACAUUUUCCAGCCUCUCUUCAUUAAUUUGCGGCCAGUUGCAUCCUUUGUGAUUACGCAAUCAACAGGGCAUGCUUCUCAUACUUGUUUACAUGGUACAAGGAUAUUUUGAGCAACACAGGACUGUCUAAGCUACUGAGUCAACAAAUCAAUACACACCCAAAGGUAGUCCUAUCGAGUAGUAGUGUCUUGCGGAUGUCUGACAAGAGUGACUCACGGCUCACAGAGCUAUUCUUGUUAUUGAUUCAUCAAACCCGGCUGGUGAAGGAUUUCUAUAAUGUCUGACUCGCUAAUUUCCAUGGAACACUGAAGAGAUUUGUUUUUGACAUUGUGACGUGAGAAGUCAAAAUUAUGAUCCAAAGCAUACCACAUAAACAUAGUGGAGGCAGUGUUGUCACAUGAUGUCAAGACACCAGAGACUUUGAAUCAGGUGAUAAGCAUAUGGAGGACUUGUUAUGGAGGCAAAAGGCCUUUAAUGAGUAUAUUAGCAGAAAUUCAUUCAUUUUCUACCGCUUUUCCUCACAAGGGUCACGGGGGUGCUGGAGCCUAUCCCAGCUGUCUUUGGGCGAGAGGCGGGGUACACCCUGGACUGGUGGCCAGCCAAUCACAGGGCACAUAUAGACAAACAACCAUUCACACUCACAUACCUAUGGACAAUUUGGAGUCGCCAAUUACCUAGCAUAUUUUUGGAAUGUGGUAGGAAACCGGAGUACCCGGGGAAAACCCACGCAUGCACAGGGAGAACAUGCAAACUCCACACAGAGAUGCCCGAGGGUGGAAUUGAACCCUGGUCUCCUAGCUGUGAGGUCCGCGCGCUAACCACUCAACCGCCGAUUAGCAGAAAUACAAUUUACUAUUUCUGCAUGAAUGCAGCAUUUUUGCGCUUUAAUAUUAAUUUAUGAAUGAAAACUCCUCGCUGAUAUGCAAACCACAGUUGGCGUUCCACCGCAUGCCUUUAGUUUCCUCCCCAGAGAUUCCAUGAAUUGAUGACAGCCACUCUGAAAAUCAUACCACUGAAAGGCCACAGAUGUUAUGUAAUGAGUGUAACGAGUAGAAGAGCACUUACAAUCCAGCCUGAUUGGCUGAUUCACUCCCAGCUUGACCAAUAAAGUUAAUGUAAGGUGGCUAACCAGCUCAUU